UUAAGCAUAUCAAUAAGCGGAGGAAAAGAAACUAACAAGGAUUCCCCUAGUAACGGCGAGUGAAGAGGGAAGAGCCCAAGAUUGAAAGCUGGCGUCUUUGGCGUCCGCAUUGUAAUCUCAAGAAGUGUUUUCCGCUUCGGACCAUGCCUAAGUCCCUUGGAAAAGGGCAUCAUAGAGGGUGAUAAUCCCGUACAUGGCAUGGAGCGCCCGAAGCUUUGUGAUACACUUUCUAAGAGUCGAGUUGUUUGGGAAUGCAGCUCAAAAUGGGUGGUAAAUGCCAUCUAAGGCUAAAUAUUGGGGAGAGACCGAUAGCGAACAAGUACAGUGAUGGAAAGAUGAAAAGAACUUUGAAAAGAGAGUUAAACAGUACGUGAAAUUGCCAAAAGGGAAGGGUAGGAGGUCAGAGAUGCGGUCUGGGAUUCAGCCUUGCUUUUGCUGGGUGUUUUUCUCAGAUUGCAGGCCAACGUCGGUUUUGGGCGCUGGAGAAGGGUGGAAGGAAUGUGGCACCUCUCGGGGUGUGUUAUAGCCUUCUACUGGAUACAGUGACCGAGACCGAGGACAGCAGCGUACUCGCAAGAGCGGGCCUUCGGGCACCUUUACGCUUAGGGCGUUGGCAUAAUGGCCCUCUACCACCCGUCUUGAAACACGGACCAAGGAGUCUAACAUGUAUGCGAGUCUUUGGGUGGCAAACCCAUAGGCGCAAUGAAAGUGAAUUCAGGUGGGAUCCGCAAGGUGCACCAUCGACCGAUCCUCACGUCUUUUUAAGUCGUGGAUUUGAGUAAGAGCAUACCUGUUGGGACCCGAAAGAUGGUGAACUAUGCCUGAAUAGGGUGAAGCCAGAGGAAACUCUGGUGGAGGCUCGUAGCGGUUCUGACGUGCAAAUCGAUCGUCAAAUUUGGGUACAGGGG
rnacentral:rRNA from 1 species